rnacentral:lncRNA from 1 species
AUGAAAGCUGUGCUCUUACCUCGAGUCGGCAGCACCUGGAGCCCCAAGUGCACGGCACUUGGUUCUGCUUCCCACCGAGGCAGGCGGCCUGGCGUUGGCGACGAUUUCGCUUUGACCCCGGCGGGAGAGCACUUUGACUGCACAUUCCACGCAGCUAAAUGCAGGACUUACCUCCCCGACCCUCCCUCCCCGGCCCGCUCUCCUUUUUCUUCAGUUCCUCCUCUGACUCUUUGUUGUUGCUGUUUUUUUCUUCCUGGUUCCAGCAUCCUUUCACCACUGUAUUUUUUUUUUUUUUUUUUAGGGUUGCUUCUCUAUUUAUUGACAAUAAUAAUGUACAUUUCACAGUCUGGUUCUGGGACAUCGGGGAGGGGGUGUGAGAAGGCCCUGAGUGGGUCCCCCCCCGCCACGCCCCCAUGUCCUGUUGUAUCUCUGUGUAAGUGAUGCUCGUGACAUAGCUGUUAUGAAAUAAUUAUAAAGAGGUCAGUGCGUACAGCAGAUGUAGAAAGUCUGUCAAUUCCGCCUUCAUCACAUUUUUUUUUUGUGCCCAGAAGAAUAUAAUAAAGCUCCUUUCUAAUGUACUUGUGCUGGAGAACACUUGAAUAAAUGGACUGUUUUUGUGCAAAAAGAAAAACGGAAAAAGCACCGUAAUAAUGUCCUUUUGUCUUGCGUCUCCUUCCCCCUGACAUGACUGUUCUCAGCCUUCCCCAGAGAGGUUUAAGUGCCCCAAUCGGGAGGUUCUAGCAUUGGGUUUAGACAAUGCAGUUCCUCCCUUUAAAACAUCACCUGCGUGAACAUUCGAUAAGGAUUGUAAACCAGAUGAAAAAAAGGGUGAUUUGAUUGGAAGGUCAAAGAUCAGUUAGUGAGGCACAGUUGCUGGAAAAGCAAAUUCUAUCCAAGGCAGAGUGGGGAAGAUGAUCAUCAGAGGGGUCACAGGGCUUUGGUCAUGGGCACUGUUCCCCUCUCUGGGUUGUUUUUUUUUUCCCAAAACACAGGGGCAUCCAGAAGAGAGCAGCGGUGUGGUGGACAGUCUGGGUUGGGCAAUGGACCCUGCGAGACACAGGUAUUUGGCCUGAAAAAGGGAGAAUUGAGGGAUGAGUACGAACAGUGAUAGGGCGAGCCCCGGGGGUGGGGUGAUUCUGGGUCAUUCAUGUGGCAGGUGGAAGAGGGGCCUGUGGGCAGAGGUGAGCCUGCUUCAGCUCAGCAUAGGGAGAUCCUGUUUCACUCCUGGCCAGCAGUAUACGGGCUGCCCUGAGUACAGCAAAACCCUGGUUGAUCAAGAGGUGCUGAACAGCCACUGGGGUUCGUGCUGGGCUUCCCUGAGACCCCAAGUCUGGGUUCUUCUGGCUGACCAGCCCGUCCUCGGCACUGUCUUGCUAGUAGACAGUGCCUUGCGGUUGGAAGAGCCUGUCCACACGCGACAUCCCCUUUGUCCUCAUGAUUCUUUGCCUGACGGUCACUAGUUCCCGGUCCUCCCAUCUGAGCACACAGAAGAAUCGGGCUUUUCCCAUCACAUCUCCUCCCUAAGACCCCCAUUCAUGCUGCACUUCCAUCCUAAGCGCUAAGCAGAUCCAGCCAACAGUUUCUUCUCUUCAGAGAGGGUUAUUCAAGGUUUCUUUCCUACAUUAGAUUUUGGGGGAGGUUUAGGACGGUGCCACUUUGCUGGCAGCUUUGAAAGAAAUUAUAAGGGGAAAUUUUGAGAAAAAGAAAAUAACAGGCUCCCCCCCUCCCCCUUGGGCACUUUUUAUUUUCUUUACAAAGUUGUAAAUGUGUAUUUAACUUCUACUGUUUUCUCAUAUUUUUCAGUGUUGAUGUAGAAUUCUUUUUUUAAAAAAUGGCUGCAUGGCAUUUUCUUGUUGGAU